GACGAACGCUGGCGGCGUGCUUAACACAUGCAAGUCACGGGGGCUCGCAAGGGCAACCGGCGAACGGGUGCGUAACACGUGAGCAACUUACCGAUUUGUGGGGGAUAGCCGGCCCAACGGCCGGGUAAUACCGCAUACGCUCUUUGGGUGGAGUCACCUGAAGAGGAAACCUCCGGGGCAAAUCGAGGGGCUCGCGGCCUAUCAGCUAGUUGGUGCGGGUAACGGCCCACCAAGGCGAUGACGGGGUAGCGGUCUGAGAGGAUGGCCAGCCACCAUUGGGACUGAGACACGGCCCAGACUCCUACGGGAGGCAGCAGUGGGGAAGUCUUGCGCAAUGGGCGAAAGCCUGACGCAGCAACGCCGCGU
rnacentral:rRNA from 1 species